rnacentral:rRNA from 1 species
AGGCUUANACAUGGCAAGGUCGAGGGGCAGCAUGGUCUUAGCUUGCUAAGGCCGAUGGCGACGGCGCACGGGUGAGUAACACGUAUCCAACCUGCCGUCUACUCUUGGACAGCCUUCUGGAAAAGGAAGAUUAAUACAAGAUGGCAUCAUGAGUCCACAUGUUCACAUGAUUAAAGGUAUUCCGGUAGACGAUGGGGAUGCGUUCCAUUAGAUAGUAGGCGGGGUAACGGCCCACCUAGUCUUCGAUGGAUAGGGGUUCUGAGAGGAAGGUCCCCCACAUUGGAGCUGAGACACGGUCCAAACUCCUACGGGAGGCAGCAGUGAGGAAUAUUGGUCAAUGGGCGCAGGCCUGAACCAGCCAAGUAGCGUGAAGGAUGACUGCCCUAUGGGUUGUAAACUUCUUUUAUAAAGGAAUAAAGUCGGGUAUGGAUACCCGUUUGCAUGUACUUUAUGAAUAAGGAUCGGCUAACUCCGUG